GGGUGUCAAAGACACAGAGGGGCUUAGAGAGACAAAGACACACAGGAGCUUGGAGGAUAAAAAGGCACACAGAGGGCCUGGGCUGAGUAAAGAGGGGCAAAGAGACACAGGGCUGACGAUUUUUGUCUUUUGGGGGUGGUGCAAGUAUCUGGUCUUGUCUAGGGUGCAAAAUAGUCUAGCACCGGCCCUGCCUUAGUGUGAGUGUCUCCCACAGACCAUAUUACUGUUUUAUUCAGGGGCACUCAUGCCCCGAGGAAGG